AAAUUGAAGAGUUUGAUCAUGGCUCAGAUUGAACGCUGGCGGCAGGCCUAACACAUGCAAGUCGAACGGUAACAGGAAGCAGCUUGCUGCUUUGCUGACGAGUGGCGGACGGGUGAGUAAUGUCUGGGAAACUGCCUGAUGGAGGGGGAUAACUACUGGAAACGGUGGCUAAUACCGCAUAACGUCGCAAGACCAAAGAGGGGGACCUUCGGGCCUCUUGCCAUCAGAUGUGCCCAGAUGGGAUUAGCUUGUUGGUGAGGUAACGGCUCACCAAGGCGACGAUCCCUAGCUGGUCUGAGAGGAUGACCAGCCACACUGGAACUGAGACACGGUCCAGACUCCUACGGGAGGCAGCAGUGGGGAAUAUUGCACAAUGGGCGCAAGCCUGAUGCAGCCAUGCCGCGUGUAUGAAGAAGGCCUUCGGGUUGUAAAGUACUUUCAGCGGGGAGGAAGGUGUUGUGGUUAAUAACCACAGCAAUUGACGUUACCCGCAGAAGAAGCACCGGCUAACUCCGUGCCAGCAGCCGCGGUAAUACGGAGGGUGCAAGCGUUAAUCGGAAUUACUGGGCGUAAAGCGCACGCAGGCGGUCUGUCAAGU
rnacentral:rRNA from 1 species